GAGUUUGAUCGUGGCUCAGGAUGAACGCUGGCGGCGUGCUUAACACAUGCAAGUCGAACGAGGAAUUUUAAAUGAGACUUCGGUGGAUUUUAAAAUUACUUAGUGGCGGACGGGUGAGUAACGCGUGGGCAACCUGCCCUGUACAGGGGGGACAACAGCUGGAAACGGCUGCCAAUACCGCAUAAGACCACGGAGCCGCAUGGCUCAGUGGGAAAAACUCCGGUGGUACAGGAUGGGCCCGCGUUGGGUUAGGUAGUUGGUGAGGUAACGGCCCACCAAGCCGACGAUCCAUAGCCGACCUGAGAGGGUGACCGGCCACGUUGGGACUGAGACACGGCCCAAACUCCUACGGGAGGCAGCAGUGGGGAAUCUUCCGCAAUGGGCGAAAGCCUGACGGAGCAACGCCGCGUGAGUGAAGAAUUAUUUCGGUAUGUAAAGCUCUAUCAGCAGGGAAGAAAAUGACGGUACCUGACUAAGAAGCCCCGGCUAACUACGUGCCAGCAGCCGCCGUAAC
rnacentral:rRNA from 1 species